AUCCUAGCUCCAAUCAAGGCCUGGGUUUUUUUUCUUGCGUUGUUUUGACAUGCGUGUGCUGCUGUGGAGAUUUUGGUUUAGUUGAUGUGCUGCUGUGCAACAUCUUGGUUCUUCCAAAAAUCAGGUGGAGCUCCUAUUUGGUGUUCUGCAAUGGAAGCAUCAACAUUCAAGAUCAACAUGUUGCCGGAAUCAAGCGCGCGCUCGAUUGGACGUGUGUAUAAUGCGACGGUGGUGUAGGCGGUGCUACGGUUGUGAGUAGAGCGAGACGCUUUCACAUGGUUUCCUUCGGCGAAGAGGAGGCUCAUCUGUGAGUUUUUCCCCGUGAUGUGUUGAAAAAAACUCAGACUAUUAGAGAGGUCUUCCGGAGUGUCAUUGCUACAAUGUAUGCAACGGAGGUGCGGCUCAACUCCUGGUUUUCCUUUGUUUUGCUUAGAUGCUAUAGUGUAGCCUAUGUUUUCUUUUUUGUUAAGCCAGAAGAGCCGACUGCAGUAUGGCAACUUUAAGUUGUUAGGCACAAUGGAGGUGGCAACAAAUCCACUGCGAUGUACUAAGCGUUGGGUUGCACUACAUCGUCGAAGGCUAGUGAUCAAGAAGUUGACAUCAUCGCAAGGAAAUUGAGCCACAUUUGGUGGUUUGAUUUUUGUUUGUUGAUGUGCAGCUGUGCUGCAACAGAAUUUUUGUUUUCUUUUGCAAUUUCCACUCUUCUAUUUUUUUAUUUUUAAAUGUGCAGAUUGUUAUCGGAGGUGAAGCUGGAGUACUGUUAGGCUUUGAAGGAAGGCCGAAGUUCAUUGACGUUCCUUCUUCUUUCUUGUUUUUCAAGUGUGUAUAGAGCUCCGAGUUUUUAGGAAAGUGGGAGUAGGGUCUUGUGUUUUUUCCUAUGGUUUUGCUGCGUUCCGUCUGAAGAAUCCUUCCUCCCCAUUGAUUGUAGCCUAGUGGUGCUAGCCACUCUAUGUGGGUUGGAAUGUUUUUUUUCCUUUGUUCCGUUGAAUUACUACAAUGUGGCAUUGCUCCCUUCUUCCUGUGUUGUGUAUCAAGGAUGGAGUUCAAAGGUGCAGCAUUACCUGUUGCGUUUCUGCGACGUAGAGUGGUUGUGAUCAGCUGCAUAAGAAAUGAAUUUCAGUGACGUUGGCAAAUUGCUGCUGAAACAGAGGUGCAGUAAUCGACUUUCAAGUCGUUCAUGGUUAUUAGGGUGCGUCGACCUUCACCCAUCUACGGCGGCUGAUCCAGAGUGGUAGUAUUCUUUCUUCAUGCAAAGGAAGGGUCCUCUUAUUUAGCUCGGAGUUUUCUUGUGAAUUUGUCAAAAGCUCAACGGUGGCAGCUCCAAACAUCUGUACACUCCUACUACUAGAGAUCGAGCUGAUUGGAGUCAACUGAGGUCAUACGGGAAGCUGAAACCUAUCAAGAAGGGCUCCCUACUCACUCAUUCGAUUAUGAGUACACAUCUUAGUUAGAAUUAAUACUGAGACAAUCUAUACUUGUUAUUAAAAUUAUUAAGUUAUAAACUUGUGACUAUAUUCAAUCAA